rnacentral:rRNA from 1 species
GAUGAACGCUAGCUACAGGCUUAACACAUGCAAGUCGCGGGGCAGCAUGGGGGUUGCUUGCAAUCCCCGAUGGCGACCGGCGCACGGGUGAGUAACGCGUAUCCAACCUGCCCUUCACCACGGGAUAACCCGGCGAAAGUCGGACUAAUACCGUAUGUUGUCCAUUGACGGCAUCCGAUUUGGACGAAAGGUUUGGCGGUGAAGGAGGGGGAUGCGUCCGAUUAGCUGGACGGCGGGGUGACGGCCCACCGUGGCGACGAUCGGUAGGGGUUCUGAGAGGAAGGUCCCCCACACUGGAACUGAGACACGGUCCAGACUCCUACGGGAGGCAGCAGUGAGGAAUAUUGGUCAAUGGGCGUAAGCCUGAACCAGCCAAGUAGCGUGCAGGAUGACGGCCCUAUGGGUUGUAAACUGCUUUUAUGCGGGGAUAAAGUGGCCCACGUGUGGGUUUUUGCAGGUACCGCAUGAAUAAGGACCGGCUAAUUCCGUG